CAGGGAGACAAUAAAUUGACUGUGAUGUUUAAGUUAUUUAUUCUUANGCCGCAAUCCUGACACCUUAAGGUUGAUCGGUACCUUAGAUUUUUGAAUUAGUUUUAUAAUUAAUUCUAUGAUUUCAGUUCCUAAACUUGUCUAGGUCGCACCCAACAAAGGUUACUCCUGGGCCAUUACAUCCGGUGGAUACAACGCAUUCCUGAAAGGGUGAGUUUCCUGGUUCAAGUUCUGAUGGUNNUUCGUUGUGAUGGGNAUAGCUCAGUUGGUAGAACGCCUGUUUUGCGAUAAGGAAGUAAUGGUGACUAAUCCGAUUACCUCCACUGAAAACUAUCCGGAUAACUAAAUUUAGGAGAAUAAUGAGUAAAAGAGGCUUAGAAUUGUCUGUCUGAAAAGAACCUAGNUUNUUGUUAUCUUCUUAUANCNAUAACAUGCUGGGNUCACAUGGAUUAAUUCCAUGAAAAUUCUGAAGAACCUUGAAAACUGCAUAGAUUAGAAAGAAUAAAGCAUCUCAUGGAUGCAUAAUUCUGGUUUUUUAAUUUAGCCUUAAAACUAAAUUAGUUAAUUCUAGAAUUCAUGUUUAAUUCUUGAGUAAAAGCCGAGCACAAUUGAUUUUGUGAUUUGUAUUUAA
rnacentral:misc_RNA from 1 species